rnacentral:rRNA from 1 species
UACGUAGGGGGCGAGCGUUGUCCGGAUUCAUUGGGCGUAAAGAGCUCGUAGGCGGUUUGGCAAGUCGGGUGUGAAUCUCCGGGCUCAACUCGGAGAGGCCACUCGAUACUGCUAUGACUAGAGUCCGGUAGGGGACUAUGGAAUUCCUGGUGUAGCGGUGAAAUGCGCAGAUAUCAAGAGGAACACCUGCGGCGAAGGCGGGUUGCUGGGCCGACACUGAGCGCUGAGUGCGCGAAAGCUAGGGGAGCAAACGGG